rnacentral:rRNA from 1 species
UCACUUGUUCUUUAAAUGGGGACUAGUAUGAACGGCAUCACGAGGGUUAUACUGUCUCCUCCCUCCAAUCAGUGAAACUAAUCUCCCCGUGAAGAAGCGGGGAUAAAUUUAUAAGACGAGAAGACCCUAUGGAGCUUCAAACUUCCCUUCAAACAUCAUUCUAACUUCACAAGUCACAGACUUUCCUUAUUUAUCCUGAUGUAAUGUAGACAAGUUUUAGGUUGGGGUGACCGCGGAGUACAAAAAAACCUCCACGCUGAACAUAGGCCUCUAAACCUUGAACGAAGGACCACAGCCCGAUGUACUAAUAAAUUAACACUCAUUGACCCAAUAUAUUUUUGACCAACGAACCAAGUUACCCUAGGGAUAACAGCGCAAUCCCCUUCAAGAGUCCUUAUCGACAAGGGGGUUUACGACCUCGAUGUUGGAUCAGGGUAUCCCAGUGGUGCAGCCGCUACUAAUGGUUCGUUUGUUCAACGAUUAAAACCCUA